rnacentral:SRP_RNA from 2 species
GCCAGGCGUUGUGGUGGGCGCCUGUAGUCCCAGCUACUUGGGAGGCUGAGGCAGGAGAAUUGCUUGAACCCGGGAGGUGGAGGUUGCAGUGAGCUGAGAUCGUGCCACUGCACUCCAGCCUGGGUGACAGAGCCAGACUCUGUCUCAA